rnacentral:rRNA from 1 species
UACGAGGGGGGCGAGCGUUGUUCGGAAUUAUUGGGCGUAAAGGGUGCGUAGGCGGCCUGACAAGUCUGAUGUGAAAUCCCUGGGCUCAACCCAGGGCCUGCAUCGGAAACUGUCGGGCUUGAGUAUGGGAGAGGUGAGUGGAAUUUCCGGUGUAGCGGUGAAAUGCGUAGAUAUCAGGAGGAACACCAAUGGCGAAGGCAGCACUCUGGGACGGUACUGACGCUGAGACGCGAAAGCGUGGGGAGCAAACAGG